rnacentral:rRNA from 1 species
UACGUAGGGUGCAAGCGUUAAUCGGAAUUACUGGGCGUAAAGCGUGCGCAGGCGGUUUUGUAAGUCUGAUGUGAAAUCCCCGGGCUCAACCUGGGAAUUGCAUUGGAGACUGCAAGGCUAGAAUCUGGCAGAGGGGGGUAGAAUUCCACGUGUAGCAGUGAAAUGCGUAGAGAUGUGGAGGAACACCGAUGGCGAAGGCAGUCCCCUGGGUCAAGAUUGACGCUCAUGCACGAAAGCGUGGGGAGCAAACAGG